AGAGUUGAUCCUGGCUCAGAACGAACGCUGGCGGCGUGCCUAACACAUGCAAGUCGAGCGAGGAGAUUCCUUCGGGAUGAUCCUAGCGGCGGACGGGUGAGUAACACGUGGGCAACCUGCCUCAUAGAGAGGAAUAGCCUUCCGAAAGGAGAUUAAUACCUCAUAACAUUGCAGUUUCGCAUGGAACAGCAAUUAAAGGAGUAAUCCGCUAUGAGAUGGGCCCGCGGCGCAUUAGCUAGUUGGUGAGGUAACGGCUCACCAAGGCGACGAUGCGUAGCCGACCUGAGAGGGUGAUCGGCCACAUUGGGACUGAGACACGGCCCAGACUCCUACGGGAGGCAGCAGUGGGGAAUAUUGCACAAUGGGGGAAACCCUGAUGCCAGCAACGCCGCGUGAGUGAUGACGGCCUUCGGGUUGUAAAGCUCUGUCUUCAGGGACGAUAAUGACGGUACCUGAGGAGGAAGCCACGGCUAACUACGUGCCAGCCGCCGC
rnacentral:rRNA from 1 species